CAGUCGCCGCGGGAAUACGUAGGUGGCAAGCGUUGUCCGGAAUUAUUGGGCGUAAAGGGCUCGCAGGCGGUUUCUUAAGUCUGAUGUGAAAGCCCCCGGCUCAAUCGGGGAGGCUCAUUGGAAACUGGGAAACUUGAGUGCAGAAGAGGAGAGUGGAAUUCCACGUGUAGCGGUGAAAUGCGUAGAGAUGUGGAGGAACACCAGUGGCGAAGGCGACUCUCUGGUCUGUAACUGACGCUGAGGAGCGAAAGCGUGGGGAGCGAGCAGGAUUAGAUACCCCUGUAGUCCCUGUCUCUUAUAC
rnacentral:rRNA from 1 species